UCAGUGGGUUAUCUGAGGUGGGACUUGGUAUGAUGUCUGCUACCUUGAUACCCCACCAG
rnacentral:miRNA from 1 species